UUACCCCAUGAUGCUCAGGUCCGCCGCAUCUCCUGGGUCGUGGGGUUGGCCGGUUGAUAUGCUACACGCGGUUCCUCGUGCCGCUGCAUGUCAACCGGCCCCCUU
rnacentral:sRNA from 1 species